rnacentral:rRNA from 1 species
UGGGGAAUAUUGGGGCAAUGGGACGAAAGUCUGACCCAGCGACGCCGCGUGAGGGAUGAAGAUCUUCGGAUUGUAAACCUUUGUCAACAGGGACGAAGCAAGUGACGGUACCUGUGGAGGAAGCCACGGCUAACUACGUGCCAGCAGCCGCGGUAAUACGUAGGUGGCGAGCGUUAUCCGGAAUUACUGGGUGUAAAGGGUGUGUAGGCGGGGAGGCAAGUCAGAUGUGAAAACUAUGGGCUCAACCCAUAAAGUGCAUUUGAAACUGUUUCUCUUGAGUGUCGGAGGGGUAAAUGGAAUUCCGAGUGUAGCGGUGAAAUGCGUAGAUAUUCGGAGGAACACCAGUGGCGAAGGCGGCUUGCUGGGCUCUAACUGACGCCGAGGCUCGAAAGUGUGGGGAGCAAACAGGAUUAGAUACCCUGGUAGU